ACGGGAGGCAGCAGUGGGGAAUAUUGGACAAUGGGGGGAACCCUGAUCCAGCCAUGCCGCGUGUGUGAAGAAGGCCUUUUGGUUGUAAAGCACUUUAAGCGAGGAGGAGGCUACCGAGAUUAAUACUCUUGGAUAGUGGACGUUACUCGCAGAAUAAGCACCGGCUAACUCUGUGCCAGCAGCCGCGGUAAUACAGAGGGUGCGAGCGUUAAUCGGAUUUACUGGGCGUAAAGCGUGCGUAGGCGGCUUUUUAAGUCGGAUGUGAAAUCCCCGAGCUUAACUUGGGAAUUGCAUUCGAUACUGGGAAGCUAGAGUAUGGGAGAGGAUGGUAGAAUUCCAGGUGUAGCGGUGAAAUGCGUAGAGAUCUGGAGGAAUACCGAUGGCGAAGGCAGCCAUCUGGCCUAAUACUGACGCUGAGGUACGAAAGCAUGGGGAGCAAACAGGAUUAGAUACCCUGGUAGUCCAUGCCGUAAACGAUGUCUACUAGCCGUUGGGGCCUUUGAGGCUUUAGUGGCGCAGCUAACGCGAUAA
rnacentral:rRNA from 1 species